CGCUCCUCACUUCUCAUAUCCUUUCUACCUGGUACUUCCACACCACCACCACAACCAUUUUUCACCAUCAUUUUCCGGCACGAUCACCGGAAAAUUCUUGUGAACCCAUAAGCACCUUCACAUCUUUUAUUUGAGGUUCUAGCUAAUCUCCUUGGAGCUUGGAAAAUUAGGAUUUUGCAGUUGCGAGAAUCAAAUCCAGUUCAGUGCCUUUUCACUUUGGAUGACGCGUUCUUCCCUGCUAUCCAUGGGGGGAAGAGGUUCCUUAAUUGUGUAUGGGUGAGGCUGCUGCCCAUGGGGCCAAGAGACCACAUGCAAGAGAGGUCCUAUUUGACGCGCUCUCUUUGUUGCCCAUGGGGGGAGAGAAAAACCUUGAGGGUAUGGGUGAGGCUGCGAUCUAUAGGGCCAAGAGUCUGCAUACCAGAGAGGACAAUAUGAUGCCAGUUGUGAAUCGGUGGAUCCCCUUACCGGUUUAUGUGGUAGUAUGGUAUAUUUAUGAUAAAUUACCGUAUGUUAGAUUUUAUGACUUUGGAAAUUAUAUUGUUAAU